rfam:Homo sapiens chromosome 11, GRCh38 reference primary assembly.
GCCAGGCAUGGUGGUGCACACUUGUAGUCCAAGCUACUCGGGAGGCUGAGGUGGGAGAAUUGCUUGAGCCCAGGAGCUCAAGGCUGCAGUGAGCCAUGAUCACCACUGCACUCUAGCCUGGGCAACAGAGCAAGACCCUGUCUCGA